GAUGAAGAACGUAGCGAAAUGCGAUAAGUAAUGUGAAUUGCAGAAUUCAGUGAAUCAUCGAAUCUUUGAACGCAUCUUGCGCUCCUUGGUAUUCCGAGGAGCAUGCCUGUUUGAGUGUCAUUUAACUUCUCAACCACAUUGGAUAUUUUUUUUCCGAUGCCGGCUUGGAUGUGGGGGUUGUUUGCAGGCUUUUUGUAACAAAAAAGGUCGGCUCCCCUGAAAUGUAUUAGUGGUAUCUGAGGCUAUUACUAUUAGGUGUGAUAAUUAUCUAUGCCUUUUGGGUAUGCCGCAUGAACAGAUUAUGCUGCUUCUAACGAAAACUAUUUUGAUGAAUUUGACCUCAAAUCAGGUAGGACUACCCGCUGAACUUAAGCAUAUCAAUAAGCGGAGGA
rnacentral:misc_RNA from 1 species